rnacentral:rRNA from 1 species
CUUCGGUCUGGUGGCGAGUGGCGAACGGGUGAGUAAUGUAUCGGAACGUGCCCAGUAGCGGGGGAUAACUACGCGAAAGCGUAGCUAAUACCGCAUACGCCCUACGGGGGAAAGCAGGGGAUCGUAAGACCUUGCACUAUUGGAGCGGCCGAUAUCGGAUUAGCUAGUUGGUGGGGUAACGGCUCACCAAGGCGACGAUCCGUAGCUGGUUUGAGAGGACGACCAGCCACACUGGGACUGAGACACGGCCCAGACUCCUACGGGAGGCAGCAGUGGGGAAUUCUGGACAAUGGGGGAAACCCUGAUCCAGCCAUCCCGCGUGUGCGAUGAAGGCCUUCGGGUUGUAAAGCACUUUUGGCAGGAAAGAAACGUCAUGGGUUAAUACCCCGUGAAACUGACGGUACCUGCAGAAUAAGCACCGGCUAACUACGUGCCAGCAGCCGCGGUAAUACGUAGGGUGCAAGCGUUAAUCGGAGUUACUGGGCGUAAAGCGUGCGCAGGCGGUUCGGAAAGAAAGAUGUGAAAUCCCAGAGCUUAACUUUGGAACUGCAUUUUUAACUACCGGGCUAGAGUGUGUCAGAGGGAGGUGGAAUUCCGCGUGUAGCAGUGAAAUGCGUAGAUAUGCGGAGGAACACCGAUGGCGAAGGCAG